GUGGGGAAUCUUGGACAAUGGGGGCAACCCUGAUCCAGCCAUGCCGCGUGAACGAUGAAGGCCUUAGGGUUGUAAAGUUCUUUCAGCUGGGAAGAUAAUGACGGUACCAGCAGAAGAAGCCCCGGCUAACUCCGUGCCAGCAGCCGCGGUAAUACGGAGGGGGCUAGCGUUGUUCGGAAUUACUGGGCGUAAAGCGCACGUAGGCGGACCAUCAAGUUAGGGGUGAAAUCCCGGGGCUCAACCCCGGAACUGCCUUUAAAACUGUUGGUCUGGAGUUCGAGAGAGGCGAGUGGAAUUCCGAGUGUAGAGGUGAAAUUCGUAGAUAUUCGGAGGAACACCAGUGGCGAAGGCGGCUCGCUGGCUCGAUACUGACGCUGAGGUGCGAAAGCGUGGGGAGCAAACAGGAUUAGAAACCCGAGUAGUCC
rnacentral:rRNA from 1 species